rnacentral:rRNA from 1 species
UACGUAGGGUGCGAGCGUUGUCCGGAAUUAUUGGGCGUAAAGCGCGCGUAGGCGGUUACUUAAGUCGGAUGUGAAAGCCCUCGGCUUAACUGAGGAAGUGCACCCGAAACUGAGUAGCUAGAGUACGAAAGAGGGUCGCGGAAUUCCCGGUGUAGAGGUGAAAUUCGUAGAUAUCGGGAGGAAUACCGGUGGCGAAGGCGGCAUCCUGGACCGACAUUGACGCUGAACGGCGAAAGCUAGGGGAGCAAACGGG